rnacentral:rRNA from 1 species
UGGGGGGCCCUUCGGGAGGCAGCAGUGGGGAAUUUUGGACAAUGGGCGCAAGCCUGAUCCAGCAAUGCCGCGUGAGUGAAGAAGGCCUUCGGGUUGUAAAGCUCUUUUGUCAGGGAAGAAACGGCUCCGGCUAAUAUCCGGGGCUAAUGACGGUACCUGAAGAAUAAGCACCGGCUAACUACGUGCCAGCAGCCGCGGUAAUACGUAGGGUGCAAGCGUUAAUCGGAAUUACUGGGCGUAAAGCGUGCGCAGGCGGUUUUGUAAGUCUGACGUGAAAGCCCCGGGCUCAACCUGGGAAUUGCGUUGGAGACUGCAAGGCUUGAAUCUGGCAGAGGGGGGUAGAAUUCCACGUGUAGCAGUGAAAUGCGUAGAGAUGUGGAGGAACACCGAUGGCGAAGGCAGCCCCCUGGGUCAAGAUUGACGCUCAUGCACGAAAGCGUGGGGAGCAAACAGGAUUAGAUACCCUGGUAGUCCACGCCCUAAACGAUGUCUACUAGUUGUCGGGUUUUAAUUAACUUGGUAACGCAGCUAACGCGUGAAGUAGACCGCCUGUACUCUG